ACGAACGCUGGCGGCGUGCUUAACACAUGCCAGUCGAACGGAAAGGCCUCUUUCGGGGGGUACUCGAGUGGCGAACGGGUGAGUAACACGUGAGUAACCUGCCCUUGACUUUGGGAUAACUUCAGGAAACUGGGGCUAAUACCGGAUAGGAGCUCCUGCUGCAUGGUGGGGGUUGGAAAGUUUCGGCGGUUGGGGAUGGACUCGCGGCUUAUCAGCCUGUUGGUGGGGUAGUGGCUUACCAAGGCUUUGACGGGUAGCCGGCCUGAGAGGGUGACCGGCCACAUUGGGACUGAGAUACGGCCCAGACUCCUACGGGAGGCAGCAGUGGGGAAUAUUGCACAAUGGGCGGAAGCCUGAUGCAGCAACGCCGCGUGCGGGAUGACGGCCUUCGGGUUGUAAACCGCUUUCGCCUGUGACGAAGCGUGAGUGACGGUAAUGGGUAAAGAAGCACCGGCUAACUACGUG
rnacentral:rRNA from 1 species